rnacentral:piRNA from 1 species
UCCCAACGCCCAGAUGAUCCUGUUUAAGAGA